CCGUGGUGUAUCUCCAGCACCAAUGUUUGCAGGGCCAUUCUGUUGAUUUUGUUCGUCGGCCAUUUCAAGUGGUUGCUGGGGUACAAGGUUGACUGUGUUUCUCCUUUCUCUGAGUUCGCGAGCUAUGCGGUCGAUGUUAUCGUUGAUAAGUAGGUUCUGGUUGCCUGUUGAUCGAGUUUGCAUACAGCAGAGGUAUACCUGGAUCAAGAAGACAACAAGAAAAACACACAGUUAGUACUUGA
rnacentral:sRNA from 1 species